rnacentral:rRNA from 1 species
UACGAAGGGGGCUAGCGUUGUUCGGAAUCACUGGGCGUAAAGGGCGCGUAGGCGGCCGAUCAAGUCGGGGGUGAAAGCCUGUGGCUCAACCACAGAAUUGCCUUCGAUACUGUUUGGCUUGAGACCGGAAGAGGUUAGUGGAACUGCGAGUGUAGAGGUGAAAUUCGUAGAUAUUCGCAAGAACACCAGUGGCGAAGGCGGCUGACUGGUCCGGUUCUGACGCUGAGGCGCGAAGGCGUGGGGAGCGAACGGG